rnacentral:rRNA from 2 species
UACUCCUACGGGAGGCAGCAGUAGGGAAUCUUCCACAAUGGACGAAAGUCUGAUGGAGCAACGCCGCGUGAGUGAAGAAGGUUUUCGGAUCGUAAAACUCUGUUGUUGGAGAAGAAUGUAUCUGAUAGUAACUGAUCAGGUAGUGACGGUAUCCAACCAGAAAGCCACGGCUAACUACGUGCCAGCAGCCGCGGUAAUA